rnacentral:rRNA from 1 species
ACGAACGCUGGCGGCGUGCUUAACACAUGCAAGUCGAACGGAAAGGCCCUGCUUUUGUGGGGUGCUCGAGUGGCGAACGGGUGAGUAACACGUGAGUAACCUGCCCUUGACUUUGGGAUAACUUCAGGAAACUGGGGCUAAUACCGGAUAGGAGCUCCUGCUGCAUGGUGGGGGUUGGAAAGUUUCGGCGGUUGGGGAUGGACUCGCGGCUUAUCAGCUUGUUGGUGGGGUAGUGGCUUACCAAGGCUUUGACGGGUAGCCGGCCUGAGAGGGUGACCGGCCACAUUGGGACUGAGAUACGGCCCAGACUCCUACGGGAGGCAGCAGUGGGGAAUAUUGCACAAUGGGCGGAAGCCUGAUGCAGCAACGCCGCGUGCGGGAUGACGGCCUUCGGGUUGUAAACCGCUUUCGCCUGUGACGAAGCGUGAGUGACGGUAAUGGGUAAAGAAGCACCGGCUAACUACGC